rnacentral:rRNA from 1 species
UACGGAGGGGGCAAGCGUUGUUCGGAUUCACUGGGUGUAAAGGGCGCGUAGGCGGUUUGGUAAGUUAGAUGUGAAAUCUCAAGGCUCAACCUUGAAACUGCAUUUAAUACUGCUGAACUAGAGUACGAAAGAGGGAGAUGGAAUUCUCGGUGUAAGAGUGAAAUCUGCAGAUAUCGAGAGGAACACCUGUAGCGAAGGCGAUCUCCUGGGUCGAUACUGACGCUGAAGUGCGAAAGCUAGGGGAGCGAACGGGAUUAGAUACCCCCGUA